CCUCGCAGGCAUGAUGAAACUUCCCGCACGCAUUACAGCAGCCCAGCCAGUAUAAGCGCCAGCAGCCCUGCCGCCGGCAUGCUGUCCACAGCCCUGGCCUCCGCUGCCCACAUCGCCCUGACCUGUUUGCGUCCUGGUGAGCCGACCCCGGCGUCCCGCGCAGCACCCUCCUCGCGUGCUCUGGGGCUGCCCCGGGAGGAAGGAGACUUUCUUCAAUCACACCUGAAUAAAUCACUUAGAGAGAGCUUAUAGUUUCAUUCCACCACGUGUGGCAUUUGGCCCUGUUUGGCAGUGAUGACUGCCUUUCUGUUCAGUGUCUGAAUGCUAUGUAGAUUGCACACAGGGGUCCAGAUGCAUUCUGUUUUGAGAAUGUCAGUGGAUACACCAACAACUGCUUUGGAUUUCACCAGAACCGCUGUUUGGAAUGCAGCCAAUUCAAGUGAAGAAAUAUCCAUAUUUGUGGCUCUGUUACAGUGGUGAAAUCUACAACCAUAAGAAGGUCUUGUUACAUUGAAGCACUUCAAGGCUCCCUUUUUAAAAGUGGAGCCCUUUCUUCCUGGACACUAUGAAGUUUUUGAUUUAAAGCCAAAUGGCCAAGUUGCAUCCGUGGUAAUGGUUAAAUAUCAUCACUGUCGGGAUGAACCCCCACACGCGCUCUAUUACAAUGUGGAGAAACUCUUUCCAGGUAGCAGACACCCACCCACCCACCUAUUCCCCAUCCUUCUCUAAGGGAAAAAGUUGUAAGUUGUACUUUCACAUCAUUUGAAUGAUUUUAGUUUCAAGACCUACUUCCUAUUUUGUUUGGAGGGAAUACAUAAAGAUUUGGCAGACUCCAGCAUUGAGUAAAUGCCAUCAUGAUAGAUGUUGAUGAUUGUGUAUUUUAUUUCAAUAACUCAUCCAGCCCAAGAUUUUCUGGAGGUGUUUGAUUUAUUUGCCGUGUUUAUAGGUUUUGAGACAGAAACUGUGAAGAACAAACUCUGGAUCCUUUUUAAUGAUGCUAUAAAAAGGCGUUUGAUGACAGACAGGUUGCCUUUUAUCAGGUGAAGUCAAUUAAGAAACCUAAUUAUACUUAGUGCAUGUUUAAUUGAAAUGAUGUGUAGCCAUCCCUUUGGUUUUUACUAUAAAAUAUUUACUAUAUGAUUUAAUCUUCCCUUCAUUAUAGGAUGGAAACAAUUUUUUAUAAGCUGCAUUUAAUAGUCAUAGUAAUACUCCAACUUGAGUUACACUAUAGCUAUAUUAUUGGUGUAAGAGUGAGCCAGUGAACGUUCUUUAGAAUUCUGUGUAGUGAUUUUUAACCAAUUCAAAUACUACUAUUAUGACAGUUUAUAUAUUUUUCUCUUCUUGAAGUUGAUUUCAGUUUAUAAAACUUAGGGAUUUUAAAUGGUAAAACUAUUAUCUUGGUGUUUAUCAGGAUUGUACAUCCUCUGUCCCUGUCUUAUGCAAGACACAUAACUAGGACACUUCCACUUCCUCUUUUGCAUGUAGAGGGCUUGGACUCCAGCUUGUUGCUGCUACCCUGUUGAAGCAGCUCAAAGAGGCCCAAGUACAGUAUCCUCUCCAGACAUUUGUAAUUGGCAUGGAAGACAGCCCUGAUUUACUGGCUGCUAGAAAGAAUGAGAUAGAAAAACAUCUCCUGAGAGAGACAUUUGAGGACUCCAAUCUGAUACUCAAAGAGAUUCUCUGGUGACCAAAAGAAGUCUUCAGUGAUGGAAUAACUUCAGUUAAGAAUUCCUGGUUUAAGAUUUUACAGAAAUAUGUUGAACAUCAGGUUGAUGAUGCAAUGAUGGCAAAUGCAGCCCAGAAAUUUCCCUUCAAUACUCCUAAAACUAAAGGAUACUACUACCAUCAAAUCCUUGAACACCAUUUCCCAGGCCAGGCUGACUGGCUGAGCCAUUACUGGAUGCCCAAGUGGAUCGAUGCCACUGACCCUUCUGCCCACACACUGACCCACUACAAGUCAGCUGCCAAAGCUUAGGUGCUCUUUAUGCUGUAAUAUGAAAGCAAAUAUUUCUUCUUAUUGUAUGGGGACUAUGGGUAGAUAGGGGAACAAUGAAAGUCAAUUCAGGCUAACUUGAAUGUGAAAAAAAUAAAAGUCCUAAAUCUAAAA